rnacentral:rRNA from 1 species
UACAGAGGUCUCAAGCGUUGUUCGGAUUCAUUGGGCGUAAAGGGUGUGUAGGUGGCGCGCUAAGUCGGGUGUGAAAUUUCGGAGCUUAACUCCGAAACUGCAUUCGAUACUGGCGUGCUUGAGGACUGGAGAGGAGACUGGAAUUUACGGUGUAGCAGUGAAAUGCGUAGAUAUCGUAAGGAAGACCAGUGGCGAAGGCGGGUCUCUGGACAGUUCCUGACACUGAGGAGCGAAAGCGUGGGGAGCGAACAGG